UACGGGGGGGGCAAGCGUUGUUCGGAAUCACUGGGCGUAAAGCGCACGUAGGCGGAUCUUUAAGUCAGGGGUGAAAUCCCGAGGCUCAACCUCGGAACUGCCUUUGAUACUGGGGAUCUCGAGUCCGGGAGAGGUGAGUGGAACUGCGAGUGUAGAGGUGAAAUUCGUAGAUAUUCGCAAGAACACCAGUGGCGAAGGCGGCUCACUGGCCCGGAACUGACGCUGAGGUGCGAAAGCGUGGGGAGCAAACAGGG
rnacentral:rRNA from 1 species